GUAGUCAGUCGGUCUGUCGCUUUUUAGAAAUAAAGAGAGGAAAGUCCGGACAACACAGAGUACCUUAUUAUCUAACGGAUAGCUGUUUGUGAGAGCAGAGUUAAGUAGAAGAAAAUAACCGCCGGUUUUUCCGUUCUCUUGGAGUGGAUAAUCCGGUAAGGGUGAGAAGGUAAGGUAAGAGCUUACCGGUUCUUAUAGCAAUAUAGGAAGCCGUACAACUUAAGGGUUGCAAGGUCAUGUACACCGGCGCAUGUAGGGCUACUCGUC
rnacentral:RNase_P_RNA from 1 species